UUUUAGCCCCGAUUGAAGCGGCAUCCUUUUUUAUACUACCAAAAUAGACUAAUAGUUUAAAUUUUUAAACAACCAUUAUAAAACAGCAAGAACGCUAGUUAUUAUAAUGAAUAAAAAAGAUAUAGCGGAAAGCGGGAAAUAGC
rnacentral:sRNA from 1 species